rnacentral:pre_miRNA from 1 species
CUUGCUCUUACUGUGACAUCCCUUGCCAAGGGAUAUCCAGACAGGGCAAA